GCCUUGAAGUGGGGGAUAGCCCGGAGAAAUCCGGAUUAAUACCGCAUGUGAUCUACGGAUCAAAGCGGGCCUCUUCUUGAAAGCUCGCGCUUUGAGAUAAGCCUACGUCGGAUUAGCUAGUUGGUAGGGUAACGGCCUACCAAGGCGACGAUCCGUAGCUGGUUUGAGAGGAUGAUCAGCCACACUGGGACUGAGACACGGCCCAGACUCCUACGGGAGGCAGCAGUGGGGAAUAUUGGACAAUGGGCGCAAGCCUGAUCCAGCAAUGCCGCGUGUGUGAAGAAGGCCUGCGGGUUGUAAAGCACUUUUAUCGGGAAAGAAAGCCUCGGGUUAAUACCCCGUUGGCCUUGACGGUACCCGAAGAAUAAGCACCGGCUAACUCCGUG
rnacentral:rRNA from 1 species